rnacentral:rRNA from 1 species
AUGGCAGAUGCACCUCUUUACAAGAAGCUUCGCAAGUACACCAGGGAGCUCCACGACGUCGACCUCCACAUCAACCACAAGCUCCACGUCGUUUGCACAAGCAAUGGUGAAGACGUGGACAAGAUGUUGUCCACACUCAGGAGGAAGCUCGGCGGAAUGCCCGUUAAACUAGUCGGCGUUGAUGUCGAAUACACGCACUACGUGAAGCCACAGCGGGCAGCAGUGCUCCAGCUAUGCGUAGAAAAAGAAUGCCUUGUCUACCACAUCUCUGCAGCUAAAGAUAGGGGACAAAAGCAAGCUGGUUUCGAGAUCAACUCCGACAACUACAUUGAUAUUCAGGUGGAAUGGAGAGACCCAUACAAUAAAAAGAAGUUUGACUCUUUGGCUGAUGUUGCUGGCAGGAUGAUAGACAUUCACUACCAUGACAUGAAGAAAAAAAUUAACCGCAAGGAGGACCAUACUCUGUGGGGAUUCUGCCCACUGCCAGAAAAGCUUAUCAAGUAUGCAGCAAUAGAUGCAUUCGCAACAUAUGAGUCAUGGAAAAUCAUCUACGAUGUCAUCAUGGGACUGGACAGGGCAAAAAGAGACAAAGAAGCAAAGCAGAAGAAGAACAAGGCUGUAAUCCAAUACAACAACUAG